AAGACCUUGCGCUUUUGGAGCGGCCGAUGCCUGAUUAGCUUGUUGGUAAGGUAAAAGCUUACCAAGGCUUCGAUCAGUAGCUGGUCUGAGAGGACGGCCAGCCACACUGGGACUGAGACACGGCCCAGACUCCUACGGGAGGCAGCAGUGGGGAAUUUUGGACAAUGGGGGCAACCCUGAUCCAGCCAUGCCGCGUGAGUGAAGAAGGCCUUCGGGUUGUAAAGCUCUUUCAGCCGGAACGAAACGGUUACGGUUAAUACCCGUGAUUACUGACGGUACCGGAAGAAGAAGCACCGGCUAACCACGUGCCAGCAGCCGCGGUAAUACGUAGGGUGCGAGCGUUAAUCGGAAUUACUGGGCGUAAAGCGUGCGCAGGUGGUUUUGUAAGUCAGAUGUGAAAGCCCCGGGCUCAACCUGGGAACU
rnacentral:rRNA from 1 species